AUGAAUAGGUUUAUUCCACAGCUCAUCACUUGCUGAAUUUGUAAAUCAUUUGCAAAAACAAACCGUAGUUGAAACAAUGUGCCGACGACAGGUGACAGAAGAAAAACUGAAACCCUUGCAGCUCUCUCUUCGGUUUAAUGUGAUUGAAGGAGCACACAUGUAUGGGCCAGAGUGGACUUCAGCAAAUGGAUGCUGAUGAUAGGAGCAUCUGAAGAUGUCCAGUAUUCUGACUGCUCUGUGGAUAACUGGAGAUCUAUUUUCAUACGUGAACAGAGAAAAAGAAAGCAUCUGGGUCAUUGAAAUCAAGAACUGAGACCGUAAGAAGCAAUGAACACAAAGAUCAGAGAGAAUAGAAUAAACAAGGCAGGGAUCACUGAAACCCUUUACGACUAGAGUACAGCAGUUAAAAAACUUUUCUGCGGCACUUUUGACUGCUUGCUGUGCCAAAAGUAAAAUGGAAGGAAAGCGAAGAAGGAAAAACAAAAGAUCAAAGGAACAAAAUAUUUUUCUUACUGUGAUGUUCCCCUCGAGCACUUCCGCUGCGCAGCUUCAGACCUUUUCCUUGUUGCUUUCCUUGGGUCCCACUGAUGUUCUACAACAAUACAUUCCUCGUUGGGUGGCGGAGGGUCGUUUGGAAUGUGGACGCGAUUGUGGGUCAGGUGAUCGAUGACAGAUUGACAGUUCCUUCACUAUUUAAAUAGAAGUGGAAGAACUAGAACUGAAAAAGAACGCGGAAGAGAGAGAAAGUCAAAACGUGUCCUGGUUCAAUGUAUCUGGUGCCGGAGGUAGCGCAGGGAUUAAGAAGAGGAUCGAAAUGAGCCACCUGUUGGCCAGGUUGACUUUGCUGGUAUUUUUAGAGGGGCUCAUGCUAGAUUUAGAUGGUUUUGAAAGAGCCAUAGCAAUUACAGACGGGAACUAGUACUGGUUAACAGUUUCGGAGGCAGCUAGAUUUUGAUCACUCGCGUUCAUGUUGUCUGUGUCUGGUACAGUAUGUAGUAUGCAUAAAUAGAUGUACUGUAUUAAUUGUUGAGAACUGUGUUGUUGUUUGGAUGAUUACUAGAGGUGGCUGUAAGUGUAACUCUAUUCACCGGAGAUCAGACUCCAGGCCUCACUACAUUGCACCGGGUUUUCUCAAUGAGAAAAUGCAUUCGUCGGUUUCUUCUAGAUCAUACAGGACUGGACCGACCAGCUAGUGAUUUUGAUUGACAGCUCGAUCAACACUUGCCACAAGCUAGUUUAGUUUUGGUUUGCAAAGGAACUCGCGGGCUGACGUACAUGCCGGUCAUACGAAAAUAAGUACAGUAAUUAAAUGCAUUUAUUCCUAGGGAAAAUGGAGAAUGUGUCCCUUCUCUCUCUCUCUUUUUUUUGUUUUUUUUUGUUUGCGGGUAGGAGAAUGUGUCCCUUCGUUGUCGCCAGGAGACGAUGAUACAUUGCGUAAGAUUUAUUUGCCGAUUCUUCUUUGUUUUCUUCAACCAGAAAGGGAUAGCUGAUGAGCAGCUAGCUUACAUCAGUGACCGUCAGGCUUGCCGAUUCUUAUUUCGAUACAUAACG